AGGACGAACGCUGGCGGCGUGCUUAACACAUGCAAGUCGAGCGAGGCCCUUCCUUCGGGAAGGUGCCCUAGCGGCGAACGGGUGAGUAACACGUGGGCAACCUGCCCCUAGCACUGGGAUAACUCCGGGAAACCGGGGCUAAUACCGGAUAUGACCUUUGAAGGCAUCUUCGAAGGUGUAAAGGAUUCUGGCUAGGGAUGGGCCCGCGGCCUAUCAGCUUGUUGGUGGGGUAAUGGCCUACCAAGGCGACGACGGGUAGCCGGCCUGAGAGGGCGACCGGCCACACUGGGACUGAGACACGGCCCAGACUCCUACGGGAGGCAGCAGUGGGGAAUAUUGCACAAUGGGCGAAAGCCUGAUGCAGCGACGCCGCGUGAGGGACGACUGCCUUCGGGUUGUAAACCUCUUUCAGCUCCGACGAAGCGAAAGUGACGGUAGGAGCAGAAGAAGCACCGGCCAACUACGUGCCAGCAGCCGC
rnacentral:rRNA from 1 species